rnacentral:rRNA from 1 species
AUUGAACGCUGUCGUCAGGCUUAACACAUGCAAGUCGAGCGAGCGGCGGACGGGUGAGUAAUGUAUGGGACACUGCCUGAUGGAGGGGGAUAACUACUGUAACCGGUAGCUAAUACUGCAUACCAUCAGAUGUGCCCAGAUGGGAUUAGCUAGUAGGUGGGGUAAUGGCUCACUUAGGCGACGAUCCCUGGCUGGUCUGAGAGGAUGACCAGCCACACUGGAACUGAGACACGGUCCAGAUGCCUACGGGAGGCAGCAGGGGGGAAUAUUGCACAAUGGGCGCAAGCCUGAGGCAGCCAUGCCGCGUGUGUGAAGAAGGCCUUCGGGUUGUAAAGCACUUUCAGCGAGGAGGCGUUACUCGCAGAGGAAGCACCGGCUAACUCCGUGCCAGCAGCCGCGGUAAUUC